AUUGAACGCUGGCGGCAUGCCUUACACAUGCAAGUCGAACGGCAGCACGGGUGCUUGCACCUGGUGGCGAGUGGCGAACGGGUGAGUAAUACAUCGGAACAUGUCCUGUAGUGGGGGAUCGCCCGGCGAAAGCCGGAUUAAUACCGCAUACGAUCUACGGAUGACAGCGGGGGACCUUCGGGCCUCGCGCUAUAGGGUUGGCCGAUGGCUGAUUAGCUAGUUGGUGGGGUAAAGGCCUACCAAGGCGACGAUCAGUAGCUGGUCUGAGAGGACGACCAGCCACACUGCGACUGAGACACGGCCCAGACUCCUACGGGAGGCAGCAGUGGGGAAUUUUGGACAAUGGGCGAAAGCCUGAUCCAGCAAUGCCGCGUGUGUGAAGAGGGCCUUCGGGUUGUGAAGCACUUUUGUCCGGAAAGAAAUCCUUGGCCCUAAUACGGUCGGGGGAUGACGGUACCGGACGAAUAAGCACCGGCUAACUACGUG
rnacentral:rRNA from 1 species